UAGGGAAUCUUCGGCAAUGGGGGCAACCCUGACCGAGCAACGCCGCGUGAGUGAAGAAGGUUUUCGGAUCGUAAAGCUCUGUUGUAAGAGAAGAACGUGUGUGAGAGUGGAAAGUUCACACAGUGACGGUAACUUACCAGAAAGGGACGGCUAACUACGUGUCAGCAGCCGCGGUAAUACGUAGGUCCCGAGCGUUGUCCGGAUUUAUUGGGCGUAAAGCGAGCGCAGGCGGUUUAAUAAGUCUGAAGUUAAAGGCAGUGGCUUAACCAUUGUUCGCUUUGGAAACUGUUAAACUUGAGUGCAGAAGGGGAGAGUGGAAUUCCAUGUGUAGCGGUGAAAUGCGUAGAUAUAUGGAGGAACACCGGUGGCGAAAGCGGCUCUCUGGUCUGUAACUGACGCUGAGGCUCGAAAGCGUGGGGAGCAAACAGG
rnacentral:rRNA from 1 species